rnacentral:rRNA from 1 species
GAUUAACGCUGGCGGCAUGCCUAAUACAUGCAAGUCGAACGGAAGCAGCAAUGCUUUAGUGGCGAACGGGUGAGUAACACGUAGGGAACCUACCUAUACGACGAGGAUAACUACUGGAAACGGUAGCUAAAACUGGAUAGGAUCAAUUGAGGCAUCUUGAUUGAUUUAAAGAUCCUUCGGGAUUACGUAGAGAUGGCCCUGCGGCGCAUUAGCUAGUUGGUGAGGUAACGGCCACCAAGGCGACGAUGCGUAGCUGAGCUGAGAGGCUAAACAGCCACACUGGGACUGAGACACGGCCCAGACUCCUACGGGAGGCAGCAGUAGGGAAUUUUCGGCAAUGGGGGAAACCCUGACCGAGCAAUGCCGCGUGAACGAUGAAGGUCUUCGGAUUGUAAAGUUCUGUGAUUGGGGAAGAAUGGUAUUCUUAGGGAAUGAGGAGUACAUGACGGUACCCGAUUAGAAAGCCCCGGCUAACUAUGUGCCAGCAGCCGC